CAGCACAUCUUCUAAGUAUCCUAAUGCUGUCUGAAUGUGGAAAUUUCUCUCUGAGUCCUCUGAAGUGGUAUAAUCCAAAGGACAUCAUUUAUCUCCCUCGACAAGGCCCACUGAGCUCCAAUAUUCCAUGAGCUCAAGAGCUGGCACAGGGCAGCUGGGCCCAGCCCCAUUAUCCCUGGGUUCUUUUUUGCUGAGCUAUUCAUUCCAAGUUCCAUUCUGCUACCUAGGCUGGAAAUUCUACACACGCUCAGCUCAAAGGAAUGCAGCUCAUGCUGGCCAAAGACUUGCCAGGAAAUGGGGAGUAACUUUUCAUUUGUGGCUUCCUCUCUCAGAUCUGUGAGCUACUGCCUGGCCUGUUCCACUGAUGACCUUUUCCAAUUGGGGAGCAGCUACUUUCAGGAACAUGGUGACCUGACCUCAAGAACAAAGGAUCUGACACCAAGAAGUUUGCAGCAACUAACCAUGCCUCUGUCUUACCUUUCCUAGAAAAGGGCUUUGCUGAAAGCUUUUGGGGAGUUUGGGGUUUUUAAGGCAUGAGCCACCCCUCUCCUUGCGUGGCCCCACAAUAAACCUUUCUCUGCUCCAAA